rnacentral:tRNA from 1 species
UACAUUUAGGUGUAUGAUGCACAAAAGUUUUUGAUACUUUAGGGAAUAGUUUAAAUCUAUUAAAUGUAA